UACGUAGGCAGCAAGCGUUGUUCGGAGUUACUGGGCGUAAAGGGUGCGUAGGCGGUUGUUUAAGUUUGGUGUGAAAUCUCCCGGCUCAACUGGGAGGGUGCGCCGAAUACUGAAUGACUAGAGUGCGGGAGAGGAGAGUGGAAUUCCUGGUGUAGCGGUGAAAUGCGUAGAUAUCAGGAGGAACACCGGUGGUGUAGACGGCUCUCUGGACCGUAACUGACGCUGAGGAGCGAAAGCGUGGGGAGCGAACAGG
rnacentral:rRNA from 1 species